rnacentral:rRNA from 1 species
AUGAUUGAUUCAGAGUGUCGGCCAGACUUGUGGACGUACAAUGCCAUGGUGUCAGUUCAUGGCUGGUGUGGGAUAGCACUGGAGGCUGAGCAGAUGUUCAUGGAGCUGCUACACAAGGGUUUUAAGCCGGAUACAGUUACCUAUAAUUCUCUCCUGCAUGCUUUUGCGAAGGAAGGAGAUGUCGACGCAGUGGAGCAGGUGUGUGAGGAAUUGGUUAAGGCUGGGUUCAGGAAGGAUGGAAUUACUUAA